GUGGGGAAUAUUGGACAAUGGGGGGAACCCUGAUCCAGCCAUGCCGCGUGUGUGAAGAAGGCCUUUUGGUUGUAAAGCACUUUAAGCGAGGAGGAGGCUACCGAGAUUAAUACUCUUGGAUAGUGGACGUUACUCGCAGAAUAAGCACCGGCUAACUCUGUGCCAGCAGCCGCGGUAAUACAGAGGGUGCAAGCGUUAAUCGGAUUUACUGGGCGUAAAGCGCGCGUAGGUGGCCAAUUAAGUCAAAUGUGAAAUCCCCGAGCUUAACUUGGGAAUUGCAUUCGAUACUGGUUGACUAGAGUAUGGGAGAGGAUGGUAGAAUUCCAGGUGUAGCGGUGAAAUGCGUAGAGAUCUGGAGGAAUACCGAUGGCGAAGGCAGCCAUCUGGCCUAAUACUGACACUGAGGUGCGAAAGCAUGGGGAGCAAACAGGAUUAGAUACCCUGGUAGUCC
rnacentral:rRNA from 1 species